AUUGAACGCUGGCGGCAGGCCUAACACAUGCAAGUCGAGCGAGCGGCGGACGGGUGAGUAAUGUCUGGGAAACUGCCUGAUGGAGGGGGAUAACUACUGGAAACGGUAGCUAAUACCGCAUACCCUAAGAUGUGCCCAGGUGGGAUUAGCUAGUAGGUGGGGUAACGGCUUACCUAGGCGCCGAUCCCUCGCUGGUCUGAGAGGAUGACCAGCCACACGGGAAAUGAGACACGGUCCAGACGCCUACGAGACGCAUCAGGGGGGAAUAUUGCACAAUGGGCGCAAUCCUGAUGCAGCCAUGCCGCGUGUGUGAAGAAGGCCUUCGGGUUGUAAAGCACUUUCAGCGGGGAGGCGUUACCCGCAGAAGAAGCACCGGCUAACUCCGUGCCAGCAGCCGCGGUAAUUC
rnacentral:rRNA from 1 species